rnacentral:rRNA from 1 species
AUGGAGGGAUACCUUGGCCCCGUCGUCGCCCAGCUCACCGGCCUUGGCCUUUCGCGUUCUCAGAUCGCGCGCCUCGCCUCCUACUGCCACAGCAACUUACAUCUCACAUCCAUCGUCUCCAAGCUGCGGUACUACCUGCUCCUCUUUGGUUCCAUCGACAACACCCUCCAAGCUCUCAAUCGCAACUUCUACCUUAUCACAUCUGACCUCGACAGGGUGGUCAAGCCCAACGUCGCGGCCCUGUGGGACUCGGGGCUGGGUGAUUGUGACAUUGUCAAGUUGUGCAUCCCUAAUCCAUGGCUGCUCACCACCAAUGUAGAAUCCAUCCGGGCAAUGGUGUCAUGUGCUGAAAGUCUUGGUGUGCCCCGUGGAUCUCGCAUGUUCAUAUAUGCAGUGCGUGCUGUUGCGUUCCUCAGCGAGGAGAAGAUUGCCACCAAAGUGGUGUAUUUGAAGGAAACCUUUAGGUGGUCAGAUGCUCAAGUCGGCAUUGUUGUGUCCAAGUUUCCAAUCCUUCUGACGAGGUCUAAGGACUCUCUGCGGAGCAGGUCAGAGUUCCUCAUCUCUAAGGUGGGUCUGGAACCGGCAUACAUUGCUCAUCGUCCGAUAUUGCUCUCUUACAGCCUGGAGGGCCGGCUCAGGCCCCGGUACUACGUUGUGAAGUUUCUCAAGGAAAAUGAAUUGCUAGAUCGUGGCAGGGACUACUAUAAAACACUCUUUAUCAGCGAGAAGGUGUUCAUGGAGAAGUUCAUAUGCCCUCACAAGGAAGCAGCACCCCACCUUGCUGAUGACUAUGUCGAUGCUUGUAGAGGGGAAGUACCCACUAGAUCAGAUUUGGGGUUUAGGGUUGCAUGA